rnacentral:tRNA from 1 species
CGAACGCCAGGACGGUGUGUUGGCCUGGGCGUUGCUGCUGCUCAAUGCGUUGGCAUGGCCGGCGCUCGCGCUGGUGCUGACCCAGCGCGCCCGCC